rnacentral:rRNA from 1 species
UACAGAGGUCUCAAGCGUUGUUCGGAUUCAUUGGGCGUAAAGGGUGCGUAGGCGGCGCGGUAAGUCGGGUGUGAAAUCUCGGAGCUUAACUCCGAAACUGCAUUCGAUACUGCCGUGCUUGAGGACUGGAGAGGAGUCUGGAAUUUACGGUGUAGCGGUGAAAUGCGUAGAUAUCGUAAGGAAGACCAGUGGCGAAGGCGGGUCUCUGGACAGUUCCUGACGCUGAGGCACGAAGGUCAGGGGAGCAAACGGG